rnacentral:rRNA from 1 species
GAUGAACGCUGGCGGCGUGCCUAAUACAUGCAAGUCGAGCGAAUAGAUGAGGAGCUUGCUCCUCUGACGUUAGCGGCGGACGGGUGAGUAACACGUGGAUAACCUACCUAUAAGACUGGGAUAACUUCGGGAAACCGGAGCUAAUACCGGAUAAUAUAUUGAACCGCAUGGUUCAAUAGUGAAAGACGGUUUUGCUGUCACUUAUAGAUGGAUCCGCGCCGCAUUAGCUAGUUGGUAAGGUAACGGCUUACCAAGGCAACGAUGCGUAGCCGACCUGAGAGGGUGAUCGGCCACACUGGAACUGAGACACGGUCCAGACUCCUACGGGAGGCAGCAGUAGGGAAUCUUCCGUAAUGGGCGAAAGCCUGACGGAGCAACGCCGCGUGAGUGAUGAAGGUCUUCGGAUCGUAAAACUCUGUUAUUAGGGAAGAACAAAUGUGUAAGUAACUAUGCACGUCUUGACGGUACCUAAUCAGAAAGCCACGGCUAACUACGUG